UUCAGUGGGGGCCAGCACAGCACACGUGUGCAGUCCCAGGGCUGGUGAGGGGGAGGCAGGAGGACUGCAAAUUUGAGGCCAGCCUAGGCUGAAACUGAGAAACUGUCUGAAACACUCAACUCAAAGGUUGGCGAUGAAGCUUGGUGAUAGAGUGUUUGUCCAGCACACACGAGGCCCUGGGUUUGGUCAGAUAGCACAAAACCAAAACCAAACCAAACUGAAACAGCUAUGGCUUCCUACAGCCCUCAGAGGAGAGGUUCCUGCCAUUUUGAGGCCAUGGGCCUUUUGAUCCCAAACUCCUUUGCAGCAGCAGCAGGCUCUCCGUGUUCAUCUUGACCCCAGGUUCUGUAUUGUUAGCGGUUCCUUCUACUACAGAGCUCUCCCCAGACAUCAGGAUUACCAGGAGAAAUCUAAAAGGAUGGGAACCUUUUCUUUAUAUAUAUAUAUAUUUCUCACAUGUGUGUGUGCAUGUGUGUAUUAGUAUAUUAUAUAUAAUAUAAUACUAAUAUAUAAUAUAUGUAGUACUAUGUUCUGAGUGGCUUAGAAUAAUGCCUGGCUCAUGGUAAGUGCUUGGUCGAUACACAGUGGCUGAAGGCACACAUGCCACAUUACCAUGCACUGUCUUUUCCUUCCCUCUACCCCAUCCAUUCUUUCGUUCCAGUUUCUACUAAGCCUCGUGAAGGCAUAGUUCUGAUUUCUGCUUGCCACCUGCUGGUAGGCUCCAAUGCUGCCCACCCAGGUGAGUGUGUUCAUUAGUGUUUGCUGACAGCAGGAACGCAGGAGUGGUAGAAAUAGCGCCUUCACGCCUUUCCCACCAGGCAGGCUCCACAGUCUCCAAGGCAGUAAAUGAGUAACCCUUGCCCUCCUGGGAUCUGUCUUUGCAUUAGACAAGGUGUCAGUCGGCCCAGACUCUGAAAUUCUCCUGGGCAGCAGGAAGGUCUUCCUCUGGUUUCCUCCUGCCGCCACCAUCACUUUCUGAGCUGCUCACACUGGGCAUCCGACGUUCUGCAAGGGGCCCUUUCCUCACUCAUCUCCCCUGAGAAGGCUGUGCAACUGAACGGACUGCUUGACUCGAAGGAGAUGUUCCCAAAAGAUUUACAGAAUCGUGACUUACUUCAGGCUGCUGCGUUCCAAACACUGGACAGACACCGAGGGAUAGAUUUCGUGUCCUCAAGAAUAAGCUCUCCUUCCUCUCUGAAAAGAGAGAAGAACAAGUCUGCCCUGUGAGAAAAGCACAGGAAAGCCACGAUGCAGAAGGACUGGCAUCUGCUUAGGCAACCGCCGCUUCUGCUUCCUUCUUCCUACCAAUGACGGCGUGCUCAGCAGUUGUGGGAGAGGAAGAUGCUUCCACAGUCUGGGGGUGUCUGAUGAUCUGAGGAGAACUCACCCGUCUGGGGGACCUGAGAGUUUUGGUUCCUGGCUCUGUAGAGGCUGGAGGCUGCCAUGGUGCGGUGGGACUGCAGUAGACAGCAGCCGAAUGCUUAGAAUCCUGGCUUCAAGACGUCAGGUCACCCACGUAACCCCUCUGGUCGCUGUUACUGUUCCUGGAAGAGUUGAGGUCACUAUAUAUAGUAAAAUGUUCUGGAAGAUGCGGCCCAAGGUGGUAUGAGAGGUGGUGUGGUUGGUAAGGUGCAGUGGUUAACAGCUAACAGUUAAAAAUAGUUAGUUCUCAUGUAGCCCAGGCUAGCCUCAAACUCUACAGAGCUGAGGAUGACCUUGAACUCCUGGUCCUCCUGUGCCUCUAUUUCCUCAGAGCUGGGGUUGCUGGCGUGUAUCACCAUGCCUGGUUUCUGCUGUGAUGGAGAUCAAGCCCAGGGCUUCAUGCACGCCAGGCACACAAUACAAACUAAGCAACACCUCCCCCUCCAAUAGCAGGCGCUUUUUACACUGCGUUGAAAUUCCCUCUGGUUUAUCCACAGAAAUUUAGUUGACUUAAGCCUAAAUUAUAUUAUCUG